rnacentral:piRNA from 1 species
UGGUCAGAAUAACAUGAUUUGGCCCUGUGUCC